rnacentral:rRNA from 1 species
UACGGAGGGUGCAAGCGUUGUUCGGAAUCAUUGGGCGUAAAGGGCGCGUAGGCGGGUCGUUAAGUCCGACGUGAAAUCCCUCGGCUCAACUGAGGAAGUGCAUCGGAUACUGGCGGUCUUGAGUCCUGGAGAGGGUAGCGGAAUUCCCAGUGUAGAGGUGAAAUUCGUAGAUAUUGGGAGGAACACCGGUGGCGAAGGCGGCUACCUGGACAGUGACUGACGCUGAGGCGCGAAAGCAUGGGUAGCAAAC